rnacentral:rRNA from 1 species
UACGAAGGGUGCAAGCGUUAAUCGGAAUUAUUGGGCGUAAAGGGCGCGUAGGCGGCCACGCACGUCCGUUGUGAAAUCGCCCGGCUCAACUGGGCGGGGUCAGCGGAUACGGUGUGGCUCGAGCAAGCUAGGGGGCAAUGGAAUUCCCGGCGUAGUGGUGGAAUGCGUAGAUAUCGGGAGGAACACCAGUGGCGAAGGCGGUUGCCUGGAGCUUUGCUGACGCUGAGGCGCGAAAGCGUGGGGAGCGAUCCGG